rnacentral:rRNA from 1 species
GAUGAACGCUGGCGGCGUGCCUAAUACAUGCAAGUCGAGCGAACAGACGAGGAGCUUGCUCCUCUGACGUUAGCGGCGGAAGGGUGAGUAACACGUGGAUAACCUACCUAUAAGACUGGGAUAACUUCGGGAAACCGGAGCUAAUACCGGAUAAUAUAUUGAACCGCAUGGUUCAAUAGUGAAAGACGGUUUUGCUGUCACUUAUAGAUGGAUCCGCGCCGCAUUAGCUAGUUGGUAAGGUAACGGCUUACCAAGGCAACGAUGCGUAGCCGACCUGAGAGGGGGAUCGGCCACACGGGAACUGAGACACGGACCAAACUCCUACGGGAGGCAGCAGUAGGGAAUCUGCCGCAAUGGGCGAAAGCCUGACGAAGCAACGCCGCGUGAGUGAUGAAGGUCUCGGAUCGUAAAACUCUGUUAUUAGGGAAGAACAAAUGUGUAAGUAACUAUGCACGUCUUGACGGUACCGAAUCAGAAAGCCACGGCUAACUACGUG